rnacentral:rRNA from 1 species
ACGGGUGAGUAACACGUAUCCAACCUGCCGUCUACUCUUGGCCAGCCUUCUGAAAGGAAGAUUAAUCCAGGAUGGCAUCAUGAGUUCACAUGUCCGCAUGAUUAAAGGUAUUCCGGUAGACGAUGGGGAUGCGUUCCAUUAGAUAGUAGGCGGGGUAACGGCCCACCUAGUCUUCGAUGGAUAGGGGUUCUGAGAGGAAGGUCCCCCACAUUGGAACUGAGACACGGUCCAA